rnacentral:rRNA from 1 species
UACAGAGGGGGCAAGCGUUAUUCGGAAUUACUGGGCGUAAAGCGCACGUAGGCGGCUUUGUAAGUUAGAGGUGAAAGCCCAGGGCUUAACCCUGGAAUUGCCUUUAAGACUGCAUCGCUAGAAUCGUGGAGAGGUGAGUGGAAUUCCGAGUGUAGAGGUGAAAUUCGUAGAUAUUCGGAAGAACACCAGUGGCGAAGGCGACUCACUGGACACGUAUUGACGCUGAGGUGCGAAAGCGUGGGGAGCAAACAGG